CCGGGACUCGCCCCCGAGGCGGAUGCGCCGGCCGGACCAGCGGAUUCGCGGGUCGGGGUCACGCUGGUCACUCUGUCCCUGAUCUAACCCAGGGAUGCCUAGUGAUUCAACAGUGUACGUCCCAGAAGCGAAACUAACAAGAGCACGUAAGAGAAAACAGAGGAUCCCAAAAUGAAGACACUUGCUCAAGUUCACACAGCUGUUAAGUGGAUGACAAGGGGCCAGACUUCUAAGGUGCAGAUUGUCCCUGUAGAAUGGGAAGAAGACAUGAGUGGACAAAACGACUUAGGUAUUAUAGUCACAUUUCCUUCUAGGAGCUGGGCCUUCAUUUCCCAUCAGUGGUAUUUAUCAGCCUCAGUGAGGAACUGGACAUUUCAAGCAGAGACUGGAUUAAUGCUGGACAAAGAUCUUGUACAAGGGAUUUCGGCAUUACGUGGGCAGUUUGAAUAGAAGAUGAAUGACUUCUCAGAUCUAUUCACCAUUAUAAAUGUGGCUACUCAGCAAGGAUUCUGCCUUCGUAAAUUUCCAGAAGAGCAGCAGGCACCAAGUUCUACUUUCAUGGAUAUUUCCAGACUCUAGGAGAAGCCUAUCAAGAUACUCUCAGUCUCUAAAAGUGAUUAUCUUGCCACCCUGCCGAUCUCUUGGCUUCAUGAGGAAUGAGGAAGCAAGCCUCUAGAAAUAUCUUUCACCAAGGACCCACGAGAACACUCGCCCUUGGAAACCAGCUGCUGUGCACUAAGAAACCCAAGUCACAUGGAUGGCCACGUGUUGGCACUCUGGUUGAGAGCCCCACCUGGGCUCCUAGCUGACAGUCAGCAUCACCUAGCAGCCAUGAGACAAAGCCCACUCUUCUCAUCUAGCGAGUUGCCUUCAUAUCUGUGAGAGAGGCCCACGUGAACUGAAUUUCAUGGAUUGCGGUGGGAAUUAAAGCUGAGUCCUGACUCUUAGUUCAUGAAAAAUUAUCUGUGCAUGGUAAUAACAUAAUUCUGCUGCAUCUUUGUCAAAAGUGAUCAAUAUUUUUGAGUUCUUGGUGAUCUGUGAUAGUGGAAAACUAUACAUUUUGAUUAAAAAUUUUGAAAAUCUAGAUUUUUCAUAAUAAAU
rnacentral:lncRNA from 1 species